GCGAUUUUGAUGCCAAACCAAUUGUAAUGCUUUUGGGUCAAUAUUCCACAGGAAAAACAACAUUUAUAAAACACUUGCUCUGGAUGUGACUACCCCGGAGCUCACAUUGGUCCAGAGCCAACAACAGAUCGGUUUGUGGUUGCAAUGAGUGGACCAGAUGAACGAACCAUACCUGGAAAUACCAUGGCUGUUCAAGCUGACAUGUCAUUUAACGGGCUAACAAGUUUUGGAGGUGCUUUGCUCUCGAAGUUUGAGUGUUCACAAAUGCCGCAUCCCGUGAGUAAUUAAGCAUUAUUCCAUUGUCUCUACUUGUUUGUGUUGUAGGUGUUGGACCAAAUUACUCUUGUAGACACUCCUGGAGUUCUUUCAGGAGAGAAACAAAGCAUGCAAAGGAGCUAUGACAUCACUGGUGUCAUCUCAUGGUUUGCAUCUAAAUGUGAUAUGAUUCUCCUUCUCUUUGAUCCCCACAAGCUUGACAUCAGUGAUGAAUUCAAACGGGUGAUAACAUCUAUGCGUGGUAACGAAGACAAGAUCCUUGUUGUCUUGAACAAAGCUGACCAAGUUGAUACACAACAACUAAUGAGAGUGUAUGGAGCAUUGAUGUGGUCGCUUGGUAAAGUCUUGAAUACACCAGAGGUCGUACGUGUCUAUAUUGGGUAUGCCUUUGA